AGCAGCAGCCGCGGUAAAACGAAGGGUGCAAGCGUUAAUCGGAAUUACUGGGCGUAAAGCGUGCGUAGGCGGUGAGUUAAGUCUGCUGUGAAAUCCCCGGGCUCAACCUGGGAAUGGCAGUGGAUACUGGCUCGCUAGAGUGUGUCAGAGGAUGGUGGAAUUCCCGGUGUAGCGGUGAAAUGCGUAGAGAUCGGGAGGAACAUCAGUGGCGAAGGCGGCCAUCUGGGACAACACUGACGCUGAGGCACGAAAGCGUGGGGAGCAAACAGGAUUAGAUACCCGGGUAGCCCCUGUCUCUUAUAC
rnacentral:rRNA from 1 species